AGUGAACGCUGGCGGUAGGCCUAACACAUGCAAGUCGAACGGCAGCACAGAGGAGCUUGCUCCUUGGGUGGCGAGUGGCGGACGGGUGAGGAAUACAUCGGAAUCUACUCUGUCGUGGGGGAUAACGUAGGGAAACUUACGCUAAUACCGCAUACGACCUACGGGUGAAAGCAGGGGAUCUUCGGACCUUGCGCGAUUGAAUGAGCCGAUGGCGGAUUAGCUAGUUGGCGGGGUAAAGGCCCACCAAGGCGACGAUCCGUAGCUGGUCUGAGAGGAUGAUCAGCCACACUGGAACUGGGACACGGUCCAGACUCCUACGGGAGGCAGCAGUGGUGAAUAUUGGACAAUGGGCGCAAGCCUGAUCCAGCCAUACCGCGUGGGUGAAGAAGGCCUUCGGGUUGUAAAGCCCUUUUGUUGGGAAAGAAAUCCAUCUGGUUAAUACCCGGGUGGGAUGACGGUACCCAAAGAAUAAGCACCGGCUAACUUCGUGCCAGCCGCCGCGGUAA
rnacentral:rRNA from 1 species